CACGUGUUUUCCCGACUCUUUCAGAGUAUUCAGAGAAAGUUUGGCUCCAUUACACAUGCAUCUGUUCGCUUUCUCGGGGAAAGGCUCCAACGAAUGGGUAAUCAGUUCCUUAGCUCCUUGGAAGUCAUGACGUCUCGCUCGCAGUGUCCCACUGUGUUGCUGGAUGCAGAGACGCUGGUCUCUUGUGGACUGUUGGAGACUCUGAAGUUUAGUGUGCUGGAGUUGCAGGAACACU